GUUAUUGAAUAAUAGCGUGAUGGGCGAAGAGGAAGAUGGAAGGCCACCCAAGCCUUCUACAUCGAUUUCACUCACCCAGCAUCUGACACUGCCACCCUUUGGACCAACCAUGUCAUCCCCUAUGUCGAGUAAUCCGGAGGAGUUGAGACGAGGUGAAGAUACAACCCAAUAUUCGGCGAUGCUACCAUGUGUGCCAACUAUGCCCUACCCACAUUGCGCAAGUGAGUCAUCAACUAUACCAUC